UAAAAUACUAUUUUUAAAAAAUGAAGUGAAUAUAAGGAUAGCUUUAAGUCAGGUCCCAGAGUCCCACAGCCCACUUCUAACUCCUUCUCUGCCACAACUCAGUGUCACCCAAUUUUAGUUUCACCUUUUUGGUUCCCCCAUACUGAUAAUUAUUUUUUAUUUGUCUUCUUAAAUUCUGUGCAAAGCAAAGGAUGUUCAUUGGUGCUACUUAGCUCUUGAAGUUUUAUUCCUUCCUCUCAAUCUGUUUCUCACACAUUGUGUCUAUCCCUUUAAGAACCCAGGGCACUACUUAAGUCUGCCUUCUGAUCCAGAGAACGUGAUAGUCCUAAAUGCUUGUUCUGAACUAGAAAUCUCAGAAUGCCAGUCAGUUUUCAAAUCCCUAUUACAGAAGACAAUACAAGCAUGCAAAAUUCCCUAAAUCCUGGAUGAAUCAGGAGACUCUUCCUGUAUAAAGAGAAAACAAGAUGGAGAAACUGAGGCCAAAGGAAGUAAAGUAAUUUGUCCAGGAUCACAUUACUAAGCCUUCUGGGUCCAGUGACAAGAAAGAAAUCAAAAGGACUGGAGAUAAUGAUGAUGGAUAAAAGGAGAAAAGUGGUCUGGAACCAAACCCAGAAUAUAUCUGACAUAACCCUAUUUAAGGAGAUGAUGUUUUUCUUUUAUCAAAAAUACAGCCUCCAAAGUGCUUGGAUUUUUGCUAUAGAGAAGAUCUGUGAUUUCCUGAUAUAGGAAACUUUCUGGCUUCCUUUGAAUGGAACCAAAAAACAGCUUUUCUGGUGCUCCGGGUAAUAAAGGCAAUUUCUGUGCCUGGAGUGAAGCAUCCACUCAGAUGAAUGUCUAUGACAGGAUCCUCAGCUCCAAUGCCAUAGUCCAUGGGAUAUGAUGGCACCUGGGAAAGAGUGCUGUGGAAGUGAUUCUUUCUGAAGGACAUCCCUCAUACUUUCUGCACGUUGUAAGGCUGGAGGCUGAUACCAGGCUGUUUCUUAUACCAAAGAACAGCAAAUACCUUCUUCCAAAAAAAAGGUAUCCUUCACAAAGCCUUUCUGCUCUCAAGGUAAUGGUUUGAUCAUUAUUAAGAAACAUUCAACAAGGGCCUAAUUCAGGGAUAGUGUUGCUCUGAAAAAUGCGCAAGCAAAACAAACAUAUAAUAUACUUGACUGGUGCUGGGACAAAUCAGUAGAUUGUGGCCAAUUCAUUGAAAAAAGUCUACCAGGUGUGAAAUUUCCAUUCAACAAACACAUUAAAUACCUCCUAUAUGAAAAGUACUGUUCAUAUAUUCAUAAAUUUAGUCCUCAAAAUUCUCAAAUCUAACGCCUCAUUUUACAAAUAUGGAAAUUAAAGCCUAGAGAGGUUAAAAAGAACUUACCUCCAAAUUACCAGAUGUCAUUAAGACUCAGUGCUUCAGAUUUGAAGCUAAGUGCUUUUUACUUCAAAGAUAGCAUUCUUGGUAUUAUAAUCCAAGAGGGGAGAUUGCUAACAUAAAAAAGAUAAUAUUAUAGGUAGAAUGGGCCAUAAAAGAGCCACUAACAAAAUACUAUGGGGAUUGAGAGGCAAAAUCAGUUUAGCUUGAAGCCAAUCUUGGAAGACUUCAUAGGAAAGGCAAAUAUUUGAGUUUGUAUUGACAGAUGAGUGGGAUUUUGACCAGCAGGGCCAUGCAAGUAAGUGAGGAAAAGUAGGUUGUGAAAAAGAGAAAUGGCAUAUAGUCUUAUUUGACUAUAGCAUAGAAUAUAGAAAGUAAACUGGUAUAAUAUUAAGGAAAUCUGAGGAUUGCAGAAUCUAUGCUUACAAAUUUUCUUCCAGGAGAAGACUUUUGAGAGUCCCUUGGAAAGCGAGGAGAUCAAAUCAAUUAAUACUUAAAGAAAUUAAUUCAGGCAGUUUACCAGGCCAAAUUCUGAAGCUGAAGGUUACUUUGUCCGUAUGAUAAGAAGAUGGUAUUCAUUGGAAAAGACACUGAUGUUGGGAAAGAUUAAAGGCAAAAGGAAAGGGGGAUGGCAGAGGAUGAGAUGGAUAGUGACAUGGUAACAAACAUGAACUUGGACAGAUUUCAAUAGGUAGGGGAGGAUAGAAGGGCCUGCCAUGCUCUUGUCCCAAAGAGUCAAACAUAAGUGAAUAACUGAAUAACAACAGCAAUAAAAAUAAGAAUAAGGUGGAAACUAGAUUACAAAGGGCCUUAAGUGCCAGCCUGAACUUUGUUCAGUAGGGAAGAUUCUUAAAGGUUUUUGACAGUAGAAGAAAUAGUCAGAACUGUGGAGGAUCUAAAAUUACACUGAUUGCCACAUUUAUAAUGACUUAGAGUGAGGGGUAAAAGACAAACAGAUUAGCGCUUAACCUCUCUCUCUCUCUCUCAGAGCAGCAUAUCCUAAAUUACAGUAAUGCAAUUAAAUAGAUUUAGACCUGGCAGGAAGGAGCUGUUUAGAAGUUGUUCUCCCAUUUCCUAUUAUCAUUUUGGGAAUUUAUCUAAUCCCAUGAUAAGUAGGAAACAAAGGCCAAGGAGAAGGAAAAUAAGCUAAGUUGUCUCUGAGAAGAAAAGGACUUUCUUACUACUGCAGAGACAUUGUAUGAGGUGGUUAAUGGAUCAGGAAAUGAUGACUUAGGUGAUGAAGAAACCAAGUAUUUGGGACCUCCUAGAGGACCUCGCUACUCAAUUGAAUCUGUCUUUUCAGCCUGAGUAUGAAUUUUCUAUUCUUUUCACUUUUUCUUUCUUCCUUCCCUCCCUUUUUUCCUUCCU